CGGGUGAGUAAUGCUUGGGAAUCUAGCUUAUGGAGGGGGAUAACUACGGGAAACUGUAGCUAAUACCGCGUAGUAUCGGAAGAUGAAAGUGUGGGACCUCCGGGCCACAUGCCAUAGGAUGAGCCCAAGUGGGAUUAGGUAGUUGGUGAGGUAAAGGCUCACCAAGCCGACGAUCUCUAGCUGGUCUGAGAGGAUGACCAGCCACACUGGGACUGAGACACGGCCCAG
rnacentral:rRNA from 1 species